rnacentral:rRNA from 1 species
GGGUGACUGCGUACCUUUUGUAUAAUGGGUCAGCGACUUAUAUUCUGUAGCAAGGUUAACCGAAUAGGGGAGCCGCAGGGAAACCGAGUCUUAACUGGGCGUUAAGUUGCAGGGUAUAGACCCGAAACCCGGUGAUCUAGCCAUGGGCAGGUUGAAGGUUGGGUAACACUAACUGGAGGACCGAACCGACUAAUGUUGAAAAAUUAGCGGAUGACUUGUGGCUGGGGGUGAAAGGCCAAUCAAACCGGGAGAUAGCUGGUUCUCCCCGAAAGCUAUUUAGGUAGCGCCUCGUGAAUUCAUCUUCGGGGGUAGAGCACUGUUUCGGCUAGGGGGUCAUCCCGACUUACCAACCCGAUGCAAACUACGAAUACCGAAGAAUGUUAUCACGGGAGACACACGGCGGGUGCUAACGUCCGUCGUGAAGAGGGAAACAACCCAGACCGCCAGCUAAGGUCCCAAAGUCAUGGUUAAGUGGGAAACGAUGUGGGAAGGCCCAGACAGCCAGGAUGUUGGCUUAGAAGCAGCCAUCAUUUAAAGAAAGCGUAAUAGCUCACUGGUCGAGUCGGCCUGCGCGGAAGAUGUAACGGGGCUAAACCAUGCACCGAAGCUGCGGCAGCGACACUAUGUGUUGUUGGGUAGGGGAGCGUUCUGUAAGCCGUUGAAGGUGGCCUGUGAGGGUUGCUGGAGGUAUCAGAAGUGCGAAUGCUGACAUAAGUAACGAUAAUGCGGGUGAAAAACCCGCACGCCGGAAGACCAAGGGUUCCUGUCCAACGUUAAUCGGGGCAGGGUGAGUCGACCCCUAAGGCGAGGCCGAAAGGCGUAGUCGAUGGGAAACAGGUUAAUAUUCCUGUACUUGGUGUUACUGCGAAGGGGGGACGGAGAAGGCUAUGUUGGCCGGGCGACGGUUGUCCCGGUUUAAGCAUGUAGGCGGAUGUUCCAGGUAAAUCCGGAACGUCACUAACGCUGAGGUGUGAUGACGAGGCACUACGGUGCUGAAGUGACAAAUGCCCUGCUUCCAGGAAAAGCCUCUAAGCAUCAGGUAACAUCAAAUCGUACCCCAAACCGACACAGGUGGUCAGGUAGAGAAUACCAAGGCGCUUGAGAGAACUCGGGUGAAGGAACUAGGCAAAAUGGUGCCGUAACUUCGGGAGAAGGCACGCUGAUGGUAAGUGAAGUGACUUGCUCAUGGAGCUGAAAUCAGUCGAAGAUACCAGCUGGCUGCAACUGUUUAUUAAAAACACAGCACUGUGCAAACACGAAAGUGGACGUAUACGGUGUGACGCCUGCCCGGUGCCGGAAGGUUAAUUGAUGGGGUUAUCCUCGCGGAGAAGCUCUUGAUCGAAGCCCCGGUAAACGGCGGCCGUAACUAUAACGGUCCUAAGGUAGCGAAAUUCCUUGUCGGGUAAGUUCCGACCUGCACGAAUGGCGUAAUGAUGGCCAGGCUGUCUCCACCCGAGACUCAGUGAAAUUGAACUCGCUGUGAAGAUGCAGUGUACCCGCGGCAAGACGGAAAGACCCCGUGAACCUUUACUAUAGCUUGACACUGAACACUGGUCCUUGAUGUGUAGGAUAGGUGGGAGGCUUUGAAGUGUGGACGCCAGUCUGCAUGGAGCCAUCCUUGAAAUACCACCCUUUAAUGGCUGGUGUUCUAACGUGGGCCCGUGAUCCGGGUUGCGGACAGUGUCUGGUGGGUAGUUUGACUGGGGCGGUCUCCUCCUAAAGAGUAACGGAGGAGCACGAAGGUCAGCUAAUCCUGGUCGGACAUCAGGAGGUUAGUGCAAUGGCAUAAGCUGGCUUGACUGCGAGCGUGACGGCGCGAGCAGGUGCGAAAGCAGGUCAUAGUGAUCCGGUGGUUCUGAAUGGAAGGGCCAUCGCUCAACGGAUAAAAGGUACUCCGGGGAUAACAGGCUGAUACCGCCCAAGAGUUCAUAUCGACGGCGGUGUUUGGCACCUCGAUGUCGGCUCAUCACAUCCUGGGGCUGAAGUAGGUCCCAAGGGUAUGGCUGUUCGCCAUUUAAAGUGGUACGCGAGCUGGGUUUAGAACGUCGUGAGACAGUUCGGUCCCUAUCUGCCGUGGGCGCUGGAGAAUUGAGGGGGGCUGCUCCUAGUACGAGAGGACCGGAGUGGACGCAUCACUGGUGUUCGGGUUGUCAUGCCAAUGGCAUUGCCCGGUAGCUAAAUGCGGAAGAGAUAAGUGCUGAAAGCAUCUAAGCACGAAACUUGCCCCGAGAUGAGUUCUCCCUGACUCCUUGAGAGUCCUGAAGGAACGUUGAAGACGACGACGUUGAUAGGCCGGGUGUGUAAGCGCAGCGAUGCGUUGAGCUAACCGGUACUAAUGAACCGUGAGGCUUAACCUUACAACGCCGAAG